UACGUAGGGUGCAAGCGUUGUCCGGAAUUAUUGGGCGUAAAGAGCUCGUAGGCGGUCUGUCGCGUCGGCUGUGAAAUCCCGAGGCUCAACCUCGGGUCUGCAGUCGAUACGGGCAAACUAGAGUAUUGCAGGGGAGACUGGAAUUCCUGGUGUAGCGGUGAAAUGCGCAGAUAUCAGGAGGAACACCGAUGGCGAAAGCAGGUACCUGGACCAUUACUGACGCUCAGCUGCGAAAGCUAGGGGAGCAAACAGG
rnacentral:rRNA from 1 species